rnacentral:rRNA from 1 species
AGGAUGAACGCUGGCGGAGUGCCUAAUACAUGCAAGUCGAGCGGCAGCGCGAGUAGUUUACUACUUGGCGGCGAGCGGCGGACGGCUGAGUAACGCGUGGGAACGUGCCCCAAAGUGAGGAAUAACUGCCCGAAAGGGUAGCUAAUGCCGCAUAUGAUCUUCGGAUUAAAGGAUUUAUCCGCUUUGGGAGCGGCCCGCGUCAGAUUAGGUAGUUGGUGAGGUAAAGGCUCACCAAGCCGACGAUCUGUAGCUGAUCUGAGAGGAUGAUCAGCCAGACUGGGACUGAGACACGGCCCAGACUCCUACGGGAGGCAGCAGUAAGAAUCUUCACAAUGGACAAAGUCUGAUGGAGCAACUCCGCGUGCAGGAUGGAAGGUCCUUCGGGUUAGUAAACUGUCUUUUUAUUUGUAGAAGUAAUAGUGAACGGUAACAAAUGAAAUAAGGUCGACUAACUACGUGCCAGCAGCCGACGGUAAUCGUAGAGGCGG